AAGCUGGGAUUGGCCACUUUAGCAAUUAGUUCUGCUUGGGACUGUCUGUUAGUAUCUUUGGUAUAGAAAAAAAAAAACUUUAAAAGACAGUCUGAAGACUAAUCCCAGGUGUGCACCUAUUUGAGCAGCUCUUGAGAUGGAAACUUUUAUCCCUCAAGCUACAGCAUUGGAGAGCUUCUAAAGAUACAGAACACUGGGAUCCAUACCCAGACCUACUGACCAGAUGCCUCCAUAAGUCCCCGAAGGAAUAUCAUUUGGCAGCCACUGAUAUAGGCUACUAUUUUUUGGUCUGUCCUGUGGAAACAGCUUGCAAUCCUCACAAGAACCUCGUAAUGUGAAUAUGCCAGCGUGUUGCUACAGACCGUGCUUACUUCAGCCAAUUUCUCUGCUGAAUAUCCUCCUUUUACUGAUGAGGAAACCAAGUCAAGAAGUCAUAAAUGACACACCCAAGGCUGGGAAGUGGUUGAGCAGGUAUUUAGACUCAGGUCUAUUUUACUCCUGUGCCUGUGGGCCGUUUUCACAUUCUUUUCAGUUGGACAGUUUUAAAAAUGUGUAAUGUUGCACUCAAAUUAAAUAACCUGAAAUUUUGCAAUUCUGAAA
rnacentral:lncRNA from 1 species